CCUCCACUCACUCCUUCAGAGCCGGCCAGCCGUGCGUGUGCUCCCAGCAGCCGUGGCUGUUGCUCAGGAGCCCGUCCUCCCCGUUGUCCUCAUGCAGAAGCCUCCCCUCAUCCGCCGUGGAGAGCGAGGCCACGUACCAGCGGAAGCUCCGGCAGAAGCAGCUGCAGCAGCAGUUCCGGGAGCGGAUGGAGAAGCAGCACGUUCACGUGUCCGCGCCGUCAGCUGAGAAGAGUGAGGCAGCGCCUCCAGCCCCUCCUCUGACGCAUAGCACACCUGUAACUGUCUCAGAACCACUCCCGGAGAAAGACUUCCUUGCAGGAAUGACUCAAGAACUAAUCAGUAAAUACCUUGAAAUGCUUAGACUCUUGAAGACAACUCUGAAAAGUGGGCUGUGACUCCAGAUGCAGGGGAUGGUGUGGUCAAGCCCUCGUCUAGAGCAGACCCAGCCCAGACCUCUGACACGCUAGCCUCGAACAACCAGAUGGUGACCCAGAACAGGACUCCACACAGCCUCUGCCACCAGAAACCACAAGCAAAAUCUGGAUCUUGGGACCUCCAAACUUAUAGCACUGACGAGCGCAUAACAGGAAACUGGGAAUCUCAUAGGAAGAGCCAGGACAUGAAGAAAAGGAAAUAUGAUCCAUCUUAACUGAGGCUGAGGCCACAUGAUAGGACUCUGUCACAAAGGGACUUUGGAAAACUACUUUUUGGUCAUGAAAUUGUUCAUCACUCCUGGAGAAUGAACUUCAUUGCAAUUUAUCUUGCUUCAUUCUGAACCUUAUCAAGAGGAUCUGACUGAGAGCCCA
rnacentral:sRNA from 1 species